CAUGUUUUCUUUGAAUUGUUCAGCGUUAGAUUGGUUCCAGCUGAAUUUUGGUUUUAAAGGGAACAGUUUUUCAUGUUUGAGGGGAGGAGUACUGACCCGGUCACAUGACUGUUUCAGGUAAAGGACUGUUUGGCAGUGGUCAGAAAUGGGAAGUUGAGGUCUAACUAUAAAGGCAUUAAUAAAAUUUGGGUCAAUGUCUGUAAUUGAAUAAUCAACUACACUGGCUCCUAAUCUGGAGCAGUAGGUGAAUCUGCCUAAACUAUCUCCUCUGGUUCUGCCAUUAAUGAUGUAUAGUCCUAAACCUUUACAAAGUUUUAACACUUGUUUUCCAUUGGUGUUGACUAAACUAUCAUAGCUGUUUCUUGGUGUGAUAAUUAAAGAAGAAUGAAACGUGGUGUCGUUGGAUAUGUGAUUAUCUACAAUAUUCACAUAAUCAAUUUCUCUUCCGGUCCUGGCAUUUAAGUCUCCACAUAUGAGAAUAUGUCCUCUUGACUGAAAGUGCAAGAUGUCGGUCUGUAGCUUUAGAAAGCUUUGCUCGUUGUAAUAGGGAGAGUCGUGAGGUGGAAUAUAGAGCGCACAGAGGUAGAGAUCAUGCUGUGAUAUGACUUCAAGCCAAAUAGAUGAAUUUUAAAUUUUAACAAUUUUUAUCAAGUGCUUCAAAUUGUCUUUGUGCCAAAUAAGUAUUCCACCUGAGUCACGGCCAUAUUUAAUAUUAGAAUUUUUUAAUGAAGGAACAACAAUUUCUUUGUAUCCUAUUGGACAAUGUAAAGCCUCAUUACUGCGACACCACGUUUCAUGAAAGAUACAAAUGUCCAUAUCUGUUACACUUCUGAGUAAGUCUUGGUCUGCAGACUUGUUACCGAAAGUAGAAGAGUGCAGACCCUGUAUAUUCCAACAACUGAUUUUAAGAGACUUCAUGCAUAGGUUUGUCUGUAAAGUGUGUGCGUGUAUAUGUAAAUAUGUGUGAGUUAUAUCAUGAGUCUGGAGCAGACGGUGUUCAGCAGACGUCUUAUCUGGUUGAGUUCAGCAGCUGCAGGGUUUCGUGGUCGUUGAACUGCCGCUGCGUAGCUCUUGUGUUGUGAUGGUGGUCCGGCGGCUGCUCUGGGCUCUGUUGGAGGAUGAGGGGUUCUUGUUGGCUGAGAGCUUCUCUUGUUGUUGGAGUUUCUGCUGUUUUCCGGUGCAUUUCCAAGGGCUGUGUUUUUCAUCACUCUGGCGAAGACUUUCACUCCUUGCUUGUUGAGAUGCACAUGGUCAUACAUAUGAUGUGGUCGUAUAUCAAUGUGAUGGGCGAGAUGAACAUUAGGAAUAAGCGCACAGCUUCUGGAGAGUUCCACAUUAUUUCCAUGAAUCACGUGGAAUGGUACAUCGGUGCGUGGUAGUAAUGCAGACAGAGUUAUUUUUGCGUCUGGGAAACUCUCUCUCUCUCUCUCUCUCUCUCUCUCUCUCUCUCUCUCUCUACAGUAACAUCACCGUGAUGUCGCCGCGGUCUAUCGUCUGCCCUCCCUAUCAAUCCCCAUUCAAAAUUUGACACGGACUGACGGCGACAGAAGGGUAGACUGCUUCUUCUCCUUUUCCUGCUAAGUCUUCGAUGUGUAAGCAUACCCGCCCCAUUUGGAGUUCACGCCCCAUUUUGGAGAUCUCCGGUCUGCAGUCAAGUAGGUAUAAGGUAUAACUACAGAACCUCCAAAAUGGGGCGGGGUCGCUUUACUUUCACCAUUGGCUCUGGCUUCAGCCAAUUGUUAUUGACUCACUUUUCAAAAUAACACUUUAUAAAAUAAACAUUGUUUCUAGUUUUAACUAAAAUAAAAUAUGAUACAUAAAUCAAUAUUCUCCGUGAGAGCAGAGCCCAAAGCUCGUGGCCAGUGGUGUUCGGACCGGAGUUUGAACCUCAGCUUUAUGAUAUAAAUGAGAAUCACUCACGAGCUCUCUCCCGCAAGCCGACCCAGCGCAGCACAGGGGAAAGAUUUUACUCUGUCGCUUUGUUUUAAGCAACGGGGGCAUCCCAGGGCUUGAAAUUCACAGGGUAGGAUGGAGUAGUGAAGCUGGGUGUAACUAAAAAGGUGCCAUUGUCCGGUGACCCAGCCGGCACAUGACCGACCUUCAACGUUGAAAUAUGGUUGAAAUAAGGUCAGUUCUUGUUUCAACAUUGAAACAACGUUGAAACAAUGUUUAAUACUAAAUGGUUGAAAAAGGGUAAUAAAAACACUUAUAAAUCAACUUUGAUUUUUUUUUUUUACAAGAUAUAUUGAAUCACUUAAUGUAUGUACAGAAUAAAUAAUUUCUGCCUUUUAAAUUAUUUUUAAGAUCGUUAUUAUUAUUUUAUUAUCAUUUUACAUUUUUAUCAUGAAACCUUCUGGUAUAAAUAUUAUCAACAACAAUAAAACUAAACACAUUGCGCUGCUUUACCACGCUGAAACAAUUCCUAUUGGUUAUUUAACUUAUUUGCUUUGAUCAUGAUUGGUUAAUCUGGCUGUCAUUCAUGAAACUGGCCAAUGAAACUGUGCGCGCCAUUUUAUGUUUGAAAAUAUGACCGUUAUCCUGGCAUUCUUUCUGAGUGAGGUCGCUGUGAGUUAGAGAGCUGCUGCGCAAUAAAACUGUUAAGGUAGGUCGGUCCCGAAUUAUUUUAUAAUUUUUACCUAUUAUGACCGUGUGUAAUUGUUGUUAAAGCGAAGGUCCAGAUAUUUGUAUUUUACCUUGUGUCAGUUGUUGUUGUGUGGAAUUGUGUGGACACGUCGCGAGGUUGUUACGACGAUUUUCAGACGAAAACGUUAGAAUAUUUUAAACAAAUUCAUAAUGAGCUAUUUUUUUUUCCUAUUUAACUGUUCAACAGUCGUUGUCAUUUAUUAUUUCUGUCGAUUCAGGUAUAUUACUAGAGUGGAGGAGAGAAAGAGGGAGAGUGCGAAAAAAGUGCUAGGGCGCGCGACCAAAAAUUUCACAAAUAUAACAUUACACAAGGUUAACGAUCGAGUAACACGCAUUAUGUUAGUGUUUGGAGAAUUGUAAUUGCACAGUUUGUUGAAUUGACUUGUUAACGCGAGAUUUUUUUAAUGCUUUAACAUUUGUGUCGCGGAGGCCUACAUUUACAGUUGUCGACUGAUGCCUAACGUUACUCGUGUCGUUUUGUGCUUUUGCGGUUGCUACGACAAUUUUCAGGGAGAAUACAUUAUACUUGUAACUUUACACACAGAUUCAAAAUUUAAGUAAACAAAAGUGUACAUAAGCUAAUUUUUCCGUUUAACAGUCGUCGUCAUUACUUUCCAUUCAGGGUAAUAUCGCGAGACUGGCCAAGGGAAAGAGCACGAAAGUAGUCUGUGAGGGCGCGGGAUCAAAAAGGUAAGUCUGAUUUCACAAAUAUAUGCAAGGUCAUGAGUUAAACGCAUUAUGUCAGUGCUUUGAGAAUUGUAAUUGCACAGUUUGUUGAACUAAUUUAUUAACUCGAUAUUCAGGGAAUGCUUUUCCACAUUUGUGUCACGGCCUACUUUUACAGUUCUCGAUUGAGACCUAACUUACUCGUGCCGCUUCAGUGUAGUUUUGUGCUUUUGCGGUUGCUACGACGAUUUUCAGGGAGAAAAUAGUAAUACCAUUGUUAAUUUUCGUAAAGGAUUGUAUAUAAUGAAAUAAAUGUUAUAAUAGACUAUGACAUUUACAUCACAAAAUAUCAGGGAGUGACAUUUAUUUGAUGUGAAGGAGGGUUGUGGUGCAGGGGGACGGGACUAAUGACAGGUCAUUUCAGGGUAGUCUAGCCUAUCUGGAGUGCACAUAAAUAUUAGGCUUGAUAUGUUUCUUAUGUUUUAUAUCCAUAAUAACUGCUGUCGGAGUUCUGAUGUUGUGUAGCUACUACCCGCUCAGAUUGAGCUACCUCCGUCUGUUUAUUUGGCAGUAUAUUUAUCUUCAGAUCUUUUUUUUUUUUUUUUUUAUAAAUAUACUUAUUAGAGGUACAGAAUGCCACACAGCAACUUUUUGGCAUUGCACCAAGCAAAAAUCAAUCGAAAUCAUAACAAAAAGUAAAGAUCAAGCGCCUAACAAGGUCUCAGCGCAUUAAUUCGAAUGGUUUGUUUUCCCCCACGGCAUAAACGGAUAUGAUGUUUUUGUGGGCGUUCCCAGCAAUGCCGACCAAGUCAAUGGGCGAUAUGGAAAAAAAUCCUAUCUAUUUUUUUUUUUUUUUUUUUUUUUAAGACAUAUGAUUCACAAUAUUAUCAUGAUUCUUUUUCAUGUUAGUUUUGCAAGUUGUCUUGGCAAAUAAUAGUUUAGUUACAGUGUUUAAUCCUUUUUAAUUAUAUUUAUUAAAUAUACUUUAGAUGACAAAGCAUUUUUCUCAAAUAAAUACAUUAGUAUGUUUAUUUUACACAUUUAUUUUUUAAUCCAUUUUCAAGUGAUUUCAAGUUUCUGUACUGCUGUAACACAGCGAUCAGUCUGUGCAGUACAGUGAUGCUUCAAGUCGAACACAGCUCUUAUAGUUUCGCGGGAGGGGCAGUGCUCGGUGGCUCCAUUGCGUCACUGAUCCCCUGCCCAAUAAAUCCUGCUCAUGAAAAUGGUGAAAAACUGUUUAACGGUAUAACUCCACCAAGUAUUAUGUAGUUUGCAGUCUUUGUAACGUUUCAGCAAUGCAUUGCUAACAUUUAUAAUGUUUACAAUUCUCAAAAUUGACUUUACACAGACUUUAACCAAACUAGAAGUAAUUCAAUUUUAAUUGACCGGUUUUUACCAUCCCAUUUCCACUGUGGGAAAGAUUAAUCAGGCCAAAAUAUUAUAUAUAUUUUUAGACAAUUAUCGAAAUAGUUUUACCUGUGUCCUGUACUUUCUAGUUAUGACAGUUGAAAUUCAUACCUUUUUUUUUUUUUAUAGAUGGCGUACCAUAAAAAAUGGAGACGGCGAAAUGCAGAAUUGCUUGCAAUGACGCUUUCUAGUAGUGACUCGGAGGAUCAUUCUUUUGUAUCUGCCCGGGCUGGUGUUUGUGCAACCAUCAAUUCUGAGAACAUUCUGAAAGAAGAUUGUGCAGGAAGUACUGCUGACAGUAAUCUUGAGAAUCUUGAUCUGGAUGACCAGCAGUACAGCAGUGAAAGUGAUGACACUGAAACGGGUUCCUCUUCAGAUGAAAUCAGUGACUUAAGGAGUGAUUUGGCAAAAUGGGCGGUUCGGAACAAAACAACACGGACAUCUGUAGAUGAGCUCCUUUCUGUGUUAAGGAAACAUGGACAUCGGCUGCCUAAGGAUGCCAGAACACUUUUGGGGACGCCUCGCCAUGUAGAUGCACAGGAUUUGUGUGGUGGUCAAUAUCUGUAUUUCGGUCUUGAGUCUGGGCUUCUGGAAAUAUGUUCACAGUACCCAGAGAAAAUAAUGUAGAGAGAAAAUCAUGUCCUUCUCAAUUUUAACAUUGAUGGUUUGCCGUUGUUCAAAUCAUCUAAUGUCCAGAUUUGGCCAAUUCUGUGUAGUGUGAAGAGGUUUCAGUCAUUUGUUGUAGCCGUGUUUUGUGGAAAUGAAAAACCCAAUUCGGUGAGGGAUUUCAUGUCGGAAUUUCUUGAAGAGCUCACUAGGCUUCAGCAUGAUGGAAUUUCAUUCAAAGGUGAAACCUUAAAUGUCAAGGUCAACGCUUUCAUCUGUGAUGCUCCAGCGAGAGCUUUUUUAAAGUGCAUAAAGGGGCACAAUGUGUACAAUAGUUGUGAGCGAUGCACUAUUGAAGGAAAAUACGUGAACCACAGGGUGGUCUUCAAUUACCAACCACAAGAGAAGAUUUUGUCGAGAACAGAAGAAGAAUUCAGUAGUUUGUCCUACCCUUUCCACCAAAAUGGACUAUCACCCCUUGUAGAUGCAGGCCUGUCAUGCAUACAAUCUUUUAGCUUGGACUACAUGCAUCUGGUCUGUCUAGGGGUGGUAAGACGCUUACUCGUCUUCUUGAAACAGGGUCCCAGAGAGUGCAAAAUUUCGCAGAGGCAAAUUCGUGAGAUUUCAUCCAAGCUUGAGUCUCUCAACGGAAAACUCCCAAGGGAAUUUGCCAGACAGCCACGUUCUCUUGCUUCUCUGGAAAGAUGGAAAGCAACCGAAUUCCGGCAAUUCUUACUCUAUACUGGACCUGUUGUUCUUCGUGAUGUGUUGCCUGACAGCUUCUACCACCACUUUCUAACCCUGACCGUUGCCAUGUCCAUACUGUUGGACGCUGAUGAUGACACGAGGAAGGCAUAUACAGCCUAUGCUGAAGAGCUGCUGAUGCACUUUUAUAAAACAUCUACUAAACUCUACAGCCCUAUCUUUCCGUCGUACAAUGUUCAUUCUCUUAUCCACUUGGCAGAAGACGUUAGACAUUUUGGAACGUCUUUAAACGAGAUCUGUGCUUUUCCGUUCGAAAACCAUCUGCACAAACUAAAGAAGAGCAUCAGGAAUGCAACCAAUCCAAUUUCACAGCUUUCCAAGAGAAUCACUGAGAUGGAUAAUGCCAAAGUUCACACUAUACCAGCACCCCACCGGGCAUCUGUGUCUACAAAAAUGAAGGACUCCUGUUUUAUGUUUGGAGAUGGCUUUGCCUUUGUCAAGGAAAAGAGAUCUGAUAAGAUGUGUGUGUGUGACUUGUUCCACCUUGACAGUUUAGAGAGUUUCUUUGACCGUCCAUGUGAUUCCAAGCUCCUAAACAUAGCUCGUCUCAGGGAUGAAAGACGACCGGGGAAAAGAAAGCUCAUUGAGCAGAAGGAACUGAAGAAGAAAGUGGUCUGUCUUCCCUAUGGGAAUGGAUUCGUUUUUAUGCCGAUGCUUCACGGCAGUGAAAGACACUAAGAGCUGUCUGGGGCCUCUCCAAAUCUGUGUUAAAGACAUGAAGACCAGAACAAUGUGGGCCAGAGCUGUUUGGAGGGAAGGUAAUGCUGAAAUGGAGGACGUUAUACCAUCCUGUUGGGUGAAGAAUGGUUUUGUGUUAUGGCCUGAUCAAGGAGAAAAAAAAGCCAUCAAAACCUUAAAACAACCUGAAGAUGGAUGGAUGACAUUUCCUCUCUUGAAAGUAAAAUUUCAGUCAGAACUCUCUCAAAUGGAAUCAUGUCGCAAAUGAAUUUGAAGGGAAAAUGUGGGAAGCUGCCAUUUUCUCAGACCCAGCUCUUCCAGAUCAUAUGCGGCAAGUAAAAAAAAUGCAUAUUUGAUGUGUUCUGGAAAAACCCAUCACAUGGUGAAGUUUUUCUUUCAUAGCUUGUCUGUAACAAAAGAUAGGAUUAUCUGAAAUCGAUUGAUCACUAUGAUUUUCAUUAAUGGAGUUUUGAUUUUUUAUUAAUUUUUUUUUUUUUGGCUUUUUGUCAUUUAACUAUUUGUAUUUAAGAAAAACAGUUUUAAAGAUUGGCAAUAAAAACAAAAGUAAAAGUCAAGUAUCACGAGUAAAAGUCACUUUACUAUGGUAAAUUACUUAUCUUAGUCAAUAUACAUAUAGUAAAAGAUGUAAAAUAAAGUUAAUGGCACAUAGCUAGAAACCUGCUGUCAGUUUUUACACUCAAGCUGAGAUUGUGGCAGCCAUUUGAGGAAGCUUCAUCGUUGGUCCUUCAUCUCUGGAUGUGAAAUAGUCCACUAUAACAUUUGUCCACUAUAAAAUGUUAUGCCUCUUGUAGUGUUUUUUUUUUUUUGCAAAAUAUUUGUGCACAUUUCUUUUUUUGUCACCUAAUUGACCUUAUGCACAGAACAUUCUGAUUUAGUUCUGCAGUAAUAAGCCAGCUCAAAAACUUCUUGUUACUAGUCAUGGACAUAACUAGAAAUGUACAACUUAAGUACUUUCUCCUGUUUGCUUGAUGAAGCCUUGGAGUGUAUAUGGAUCACAUCAUUGUUGACCUGAGGCAGAUCCUGAAGGCAGUGAGCAAAGGCGGAUAGUAGUAUAUUUACUUGAGUACACUUUUUGAGGAUCUGUGAUUUUCCCAGCAUUUUUUUUUUAACUGACCAGUUGCAAAUGGAGUAUGUAUUUGGAACAAUUCAAUAAUAAAAAGUUAAUAUUGUGGUAUUGUGUAAACAACUAUUUGCUCUAAAGCCACAGAAGAACUGUUGUGCGUCUCCCAACAAAACACAAUAGGUGUUUGACUUGAAGCAGCACUGCACAGACAUGUAUGAUGUAUAAUGUGCCAGAAUGACUGAGCUGGCUUAUCGAAAACAGGGAAGCUACUGUGCAUAAGGUCAAUUGUGAUCCUAAUAACUUUUACAUCCUUAAAAGCUUUUCCAUAUAUUUUAUAGCAAUUUUGUUGAUCUGGGCUGUUUUGAUUUUUCUCUUUAGAUGCAGUCAUCAAUGCACACAACACAAGUAGUACAAAAGUAAUGGAGACCAUGUCCAAAUAUUUAAAAUAUGCACCAGAGAGGAUGGGUGGUGGUGGCCGUAAGAAGGCUCUUCCUUGAAGACACCUUUUUUUUUCUUUUUUUUUUUAAAUGACUGUUGCUAGAAAAAAUGUGAAAUUUCUACAAAUUACUUCUUACUAGUUCUACAAAUUUUACUUGGAUUCCUUUUCACUUAAUUGUUGAGAUUUCAGAAUGUUAAGAAAUGUGUACAUAUGUUGGUCAGAAGUUUGGAAAUGGUAAGAUUUUAGUGUGUGUCAGUGUUAUGGUUUUAUGUAUUUUUGGUCAAACAGAUUUGAGCAAGUUUUUAAACUAUUUAUUAUUUAUAUAGUGUGAAUCUUUGCAGUGUGUAUGAAAUUUGAAUGAAAAGCUUUUCUCCUCUGCAUUCUGAUACAUCAUUAAACCCUUAAGAAACUGCUUUGUUGAGUGAGAAUUUUCUCAAGAAAUUCUGUGAAAGUGUAAAUGUACAAUAUAGAUAUACUGUAUUUAAAUAAGAAUUUUUACAUUUGGCAUAAUUGUUCAAAAGUUUUUCUUUAGAAAAUUAAGCAUCUCAUCCCUGCACUUUAUGAACAUUUAAUUGUUAGAAUGGGUUUUUUCCAUUUUCUUAUUUAUUUUUAUGCCGUCCGAUUGCAAAUAAUGUACAGCAAGUUUUAUUAGUUACUGAAAACACGAAAUAUGCACCGAAAAUCAUAGUUUACAUCUCAGUGUUGACGUUUAAGCUAAAGUGCAAUAUUAACAAUUUCCAAAGUGAAUGUUUGCUUGGACAUUUAACGACGAUCGACCGUUGAAAGGUACGCCGGUGAAACACGGUCACAAUAUCAACGUUGAUCCGUUUUGCAAAACCGAAAGGUAAUUCAACGUUGAUUCAACAUCGACAGAAGACCAUAACCCGAAAGGUAAGAGUGAAACAACGUCACGAUUUCAACGGUGAAUCAACGUUGUUACUUCCGCGGUGAAACGACGUCACAAUAUCAACGUUGAUCCGUUUUGCAAAAUCGAAAGGUAAUUCACCGUUGUUUCAACCAUGGUACCUGACGUUGUUUCAACGGUGAAUCAACGUUGAAAUGCUGGCUGGGGAGGUCCGGUUGGGGAGUUAUGAACGGCCCGGCUCGGAGAUCUCAUGUUGCAUAAUCAUAUUAACUGCUUAUCUCCUGAACUACAACUUUCUUUUCAGCACCAAUCCUGCCAUGCAGCCAAUUUCACUGGUUAAGGUUAGGGUCAGGUGUGGGGUAGGUUUAGGGGUUAGCAUUUUUUUGUAGCAUAGUGUAGGAAAUUAAAUUAACACUGUGAUUGACACAACCAAUAAAAUCUUUAGAAUCAGCUGUGGGGCGGAGUUUGCGCUGAAGUUGAUUGGGAGAAAAAAAUGCGCAUGCGUGUCAUGUGCCUGUCUGUCAACGGGAGGAAGCCACGCCCUAUUUUGGAGCUACCACCCCGUUUUGUAGUUCCCGCCCCGAUUUGGAGAUCUCCAGGCUGCAGUUAUAGCCUUCUCUCUGCAGUUAUACCUACUUGGACAUUGUGACCUCAUCACGAGUAUCCUGGGAGAUCAUUGUGAGAUCAAAUUGUUGACUGGGUAACCAGUGACAAUAGAGAAGUGAAAGAACGCCGGAAUAAGAAUAAACAGUUUAGAACAGGGGCCAUCAAACUUGAUGCUGGA